ACUCCUACGGGAGGCAGCAGUGGGAAUAUUGCACAAUGGGCGCAAGCCUGAUGCAGCCAUGCCGCGUGGGUGAUGAAGGCCUUCGGGUUGUAAAGCCCUUUCACCGGGGAGCGAUGAUGACGGUACCCGGCGAAGAAGCACCGGCUAACUCCGUGCCAGCAGCCGCGGUAAGACGGAGGGUGCUAGCGUUGUUCGGAAUCACUGGGCGUAAAGGGCGCGUAGGCGGCUGUGGCAGUCGGGUGUGAAAG
rnacentral:rRNA from 1 species